AAUCUUGGUCAAUGGGCGAAAGCCUGAUCCAGCAAGGCCGCGUGUGUGAAGAAGGUCUUCGGAUCGUAAAGCACUUUUGGUUGGGAGGUAGGGCAGUAAGCUACUACCUCGAUGUUCUGACGUUACCGACAGAAUAAGCUUCGGCUAACUACGUGCCAGCAGCCGCGGUAAUACGGAGGGUGCAAGCGUUAGUCGGAAUUACUGGGCGUAAAGCGCGCGUAGGUGGUUUGUUAAGUUGGGAGUGAAAGCCCCGGGCUCAACCUGGGAACUGCUUUCAAAACUGGCAAGCUAGAGUAUGGCAGAGGGUGGUGGAAUUUCCUGGGUAGCGGUGAAAUGCGUAGAUAUAGGAAGGAACAUCAGUGGCGAAGGCGACCACCUGGGCUAAUACUGACACUGAGGUGCGAAAGCGUGGGGAGCAAACAG
rnacentral:rRNA from 1 species